CAGCAAUUCUCCAGCUGCCUUCUGAGAACAAUGGCCCCUCACUUGGUCUAGCACCAAACAGAAGCCUCAUUUUCCUUAGACCUAGUUCUGGAAAACUACUUCCUGGCUCUCUUUUUAGUAUGAUAUAUGUUACGUGCCUGGCCCUUUAAAUUGUCCUAUGGUCUUCAGUGACAGUUGGCCUUUGGACUUCUGGGAGCAGGAGAGGGUAUAAAAGCCCACAGAAGCUGAGAGAGGCAGUAGGAGAGUGAUGAAGGAGUUGGAGAGUCCUCAGAGUGGGUAGAAGUAGGGUCCAGGAGUCAGAAGAACACAGUCAGAGAAGACAGAUGUUACAGGAAGAAAGUAUGGCUAGAGAAGAGAUGAGGUUUUGAAGGGUGAAAUUAAGAGAUAGCUGUGAGUGAAUUUGGGGAGCAGACCGAAAAGACAGUUGAUGACAGUUGAGGCAGGAGGAGAUCACCUUAAUGUCCCUGAAGUGCUGCUGUAGCAGGGCCUAAUCCCCCUGCAUUUUUUCCUGCCUCAACAUACAAACCUUCUUCAGCUGACACUGCUCCAUCAAGAGUCAUCUGUGCAGGGUAUGGCGAACAAACUCUGCAGAAUAAGCCCCUCACAACCUCCUUUUGCAUCCUCUACUUCAAGGUCUCUUUAAGGCUACCUAUGAUAGGAACCCAUGAAGAACUAUGAAAGGUCCCAAUACAGUCAUGACAGUUGUACUCAAAAGACCAUAAACCAAGAACAGGCUAUACAGGGAGAAAUAAGUAACCCCUAAUAUCCCUAAGAGCAAUAGGGAUCUAUGUCCCUCCAAAGAAAGAGGGAUGUCCACCUGUCCUUCUCUGUCCAAGAUAAUGAGGAAACAUUAAAAAAAAAAGUCAGAGGUAAAUAACCUCUGGGUAGGACAGGAGAGCCAAGGGGAGGACAUUCUAUCUUCUUUUUCCAUAAUUAUAGGCUCUGUGAAAACUCAGCCUAAUAUUAGAGGCUACCUGUCCCGUAUUUCAUGGUGUGAAUCACUUUUCUCUUGAUGCUCCUGAGGAUGGCAGGACAAUGCUGGGAGGGGAACAGUCUCUUUCACGCUUAGCAAAGCUGAGUACGAAAGGACUGGGGCUGAUGGCUACACAGCAAAAGGGAUAAGCUGCACACUCUCUAGUCUAGGAACAAGGAAUGACACAAACGGUCAUUGCACAGCUGCCGGAGUCCCCACAGGCAUGUAUCUACAGAAGCUGGUCUCAUUCUCCUGCUCCUGGGUGUUCUCUGUUGCUUCAAGAGUUUCCUCAUUUUCCAAGCUUUGCAAGUCUUACAUGAUCUGCUUCUGCUUUUUCUUCAGAUUCUCAUACAACAGAUUUGAACUGUGGGAGGGGCUGGCUGCAGGAGGAUAGAAUCCCAUGAAUGCAGACUGAAGGAUCCUGGGGAAUCUACAUUCUGGAUUCUAUGUACUGGGGCAUUAUGGUGACUAUGGACAUCUUAUCCUGGCCCAAAGCCUGCAGAAGUUAUGUGUCCAGAUGGAGAAUGCCCAGGCUGUAUGAGUCACUCAGGAGGACUGGAGGGGCAAUUUAGCCCAUUUUGUUCUCAGGAGCCUAUGCCACAGGGUUUGGCCCACAGAUACCAGUGAUUUAAUUUCUCUUGUCUGUCAACAAGGAUUUUUAGAUAUUAGAUAAUUACUACUGGAGUGUCAAACAUUUUUAGAAUUUUGCAGAUAAGACACAAGGGCACAACAGCUUUAUAAACUACUCAAGAGAUUUCAAUGUGCCUCCAAGGUGCAGAAUAAGCCAAGAGCUGGGCUGCUUAUAGAGGGGCUCCCAGAAUGCAUCACUGGCAUUGCUUUGAAACUGUGUGCACACCCCUAAUUCCCAGAUUCCAGAGGGACAUACAAACAAAUGUAUAUGCACAAAUGCACUGGUGAGAAAUGGAGACAGAGACAGAGAGCACAAUGGGAUGCAGAAGAAAUGCAUGGAGCAAUAUUGUCUCCAAGUAAUAGGCACAAGGAAUGAGAGGAACAGUAAUGACCUUGGGCCUUCCAAGUAAACACUGAGAUGGAAAGAGUGGGUUCAGGCUACCUGAGCUCACCAGGAGGUACCAGUACUCAACCAUGUGCCAGGCAAAUACAAAGAUUCACCACAAAGUCAGAGCAACCAGAAACUCACAAAGUGACCACAAGUCAAGGUCCUUCCAAAUGCAUGCUGGGAACUCACUCUUCAACCUCAAUUCCUGAAUCCCUGAGUUCAGUCAUUCAGACGACAGGCUCAGGUUUUCAUGUGGAAGAAGCAGAAGAGACCAGUUCUAAUCUCAUUCCUUCCCAAGUAUCAGGUUCUGAUUCUCUUCUGAGAAGUAUUUACGGACAUGAGUUGGGCACAGGGACAUGCUGUACAACCUUCUAGAACUUGGAACCCAAGACCUUAAAAGGAUAAGAUGACUGUGACAUUGCAAUCUUAGACUGACAUUAUGUGUUUGAAACAAGGAAUACUUAUUGUCCAAGGAACCUUCAGAGAUGAAGACCAGGCAAUCUUGCAGCUCAUUUCUCUUCACUGGUCAUCAACUUGAACUAAGCGGUCAGGUCUUCAUUUCCUUCAUCAUCUGCUUGUUGUAGAGGGUUGGGAUGUUGUUAGCUAUCUAGUAGCACAUUAGUGUACUUCUGUAGUGAUAAGGCAGAGAGGAUGGAAAGACCACUCUGCAUCCAAAACAGAAAUAGAGCAUGCCUGAAACCCAGUGAUACCCAAAGAUUUUGGAAUAGGCUAGAGAUGCCCCCUGUGUGGAUCUGAACUCUCCCAUCACUCUGUAGCGAAUUGUGUAUCUAAUCAGCCAAGAGGUUCUUCUACCUCUGCACACUGCCUAAUGAUGACUACAGAGAUGGACUCUCAAGGAUUAUUAACAAAUGCACAGGGUGCACCUUGGUUUCAGAGCCCUGGAACCUGUGGUUUAGGAAUCCAGCAGAAAAUGGCACAGUAGACAAGCACUAAGGUGUCUUGGAGAUGUCCAGAACUCCUGCCCUGUAUUCUAGGCCCAUAUCUGUGUAUUAAAAAGUUAUACAGAAAACAGAGCAUGGUCAACAGACUGAGUAAAUCACUCCACUGAAACUCCCACAACCCCAUGAGCUGGCAAUGAGAUGCAGUCUUGAUCCACUGUCUCUGAAGGAUGUCUGGCACCACCCCUGUUGGUUCUGAAAGCUAAGGAUGACCACUCUUUGGAAGAGCUGGUCAGAGGGCUUCUGAGAACAUAAGGUCACAUACCUAGAGACACACUUCUCUCCAUGAUAGCCACUCCACCCAAAAGAAGCAAGUGGGUGUAAAGUGCUGUGAUGCACUGCCCUAACCUGGAAAAUCAUAGUCACUCCCUGAUUCUUGGGGCUCUUCCUUCAUCCCCAUGUUAUAACUCCAAUGCCCAGUAAGCAUAAUAGCGAGAGCUCACAGGAUAAUAGCAUUGACCUUGUCAGCAACUGGCUUUGGGAUGGACAAACUAAUGUUUUGUAUUCCUUGACUUUAAGGAAUUAUAAUAACUAGAGACAUAAUUCGAUUCCCAGAGGCUCCACUUCCUUUGCCCCAUUGAUGGAAGGCCCAGCUCAAGUACACCUCCUCCAACUCCCCAGUCAGCGUGGAUAUUAACCAUAAAGUCUAGGAUACCUAAACUACACUCCACAGACCUAAGGAAGCUGAACAAUAAGGAAGGCACAAGAGCUAGAGGAAUAUUCAGAUGCCUUCCCUGAUCUUGAUUGAACUUUGUGCCUCACCUGGAGUGUAGCUUCCCCCAGCCUGAAGCUGGCUGAUGCAGACCUUGUUGCCACUGAGGUGGGGCCACCUGCUUUGCAGCUUUCCGACUUGGCUGGCUUCUUUUCAAGUGUCUACUGCCCUGAGAUUCUGCUACCUGGCCAAGAGGCUGAACCUGUGUUCCUGAGACAUUCCUGAAUAAGCAAUAGCCUGGCGACCAAGUGCUGACAGCAUGGCGACAAAGCACCAAGGAUGGACUGGCAGGGGGAAUGGGUCUUCCCCUUUUUAAGCACAGUCUCUUAGUAAACUCGCGGGCCUUGAUCAGAGAAAAAAUUGUCUUGGCUUCAUUCUUUUCUCGCCGUCUAGUCUCUCUUUCAGCCCCAGCCUGCCUUCGAGGAAUACCCGGUUCAUGUAGGCCAUGGGCCAGCCUCCUACUACAGAUUGGUGCCUGAAAAUGGCAGGAAAACACUGAGGGACCGCUGUCUUGUGUAGAGCUCCACAAGAAGGGAAGAAAAAGAUCGUAUCGAGCACAGUGAGCAACAGGUAUUUAUGCCAGCCCUGGUUUUAAAUUUCAUUCUUUUAAAGUGUUGCUGGAGGUGCGAUAGGAUACAGGAUAAGUUGGAACAGUGCUAACCCGGGGCUGAUUCCACUUAGGGUUUGACAGCAAAAUAUGGGACUAGAAACUCCCAAACAGGUGGUUGUCUGCAGCUUUCA
rnacentral:lncRNA from 1 species